GGCUCUCCCAGCUCUGACGGCCGCUGGAAGUCCUGUUUCAUUUGAUAUGGACCCUCAAGCAGAACAGAAGGGGACUGUCACUUAAGUUCUUGGAAAUUCAACAAGGAGAUCAGUGUCCUACUGAGAAGGAUGAAUCAGAGAUAUGCUAUCAGCCGAAUCGAAUAAGAGAGUUCAGCUCAGUGGCCACCUCCUGUAUGCAGGUUUUCUCCAUUUCUCCUGACCUCCAUGGAGACAUGACAGUCGGCCUGGGCCCUGG